GAUGAACGCUGGCGGCGUGCCUAAUACAUGCAAGUCGAGCGAAUGGAUUAAGAGCUUGCUCUUAUGAAGUUAGCGGCGGACGGGUGAGUAACACGUGGGUAACCUGCCCAUAAGACUGGGAUAACUCCGGGAAACCGGGGCUAAUACCGGAUAACAUUUUGAACCGCAUGGUUCGAAAUUGAGAGGCGGCUUCGGCUGUCACUUAUGGAUGGACCCGCGUCGCAUUAGCUAGUUGGUGAGGUAACGGCUCACCAAGGCAACGAUGCGUAGCCGACCUGGCAGGUUGAUCGUCCAACCUGGGACUGAGACACGGCCCAGACUCCUACGGGAGGCAGCAGUAGGGAAUCUUCCGCAAUGGACGAAAGUCUGGCGGAGCAACGCCGCGUGAGUGAUGAAGGCUUUCGGGUCGUAAAACUCUGUUGUUAGGGAAGAACAAGUGCUAGUUGAAUAAGCUGGCACCUUGACGGUACCUAACCAGAAAGCCACGGCUAACUACGUGCCAGCAGCCGCCGUAA
rnacentral:rRNA from 1 species